UACGUAGGGGGCAAGCGUUGUUCGGAAUUACUGGGCGUAAAGGGCUCGUAGGCGGCCAACUAAGUCAGACGUGAAAUCCCUCGGCUUAACCGGGGAACUGCGUCUGAUACUGGAUGGCUAGAGUUUGGGAGAGGGAUGCGGAAUUCCGAGGUGUAGCGGUGAAAUGCGUAGAUAUCUGGAGGAACACCGGUGGCGAAGGCGGCAUCCUGGACCAACACUGACGCUGAGGAGCGAAAGCCAGGGGAGCAAACGGGG
rnacentral:rRNA from 1 species